rnacentral:rRNA from 1 species
AUUGAACGCUGGCGGCAGGCCUAACACAUGCAAGUCGAACGAGUGGCGGACGGGUGAGUAAUGUCUGGGCAACUGCCUGAUGGAGGGGGAUAACUACUGGAAACCGUAGCUAAUUACGCCUUCCAUCGGAUGAGCCCAUAUGGGAUUAGCUGGUGGGUGGGGUAAAGGCUCACCUAGGCGACGAUCCCUAGCGGGUCUGAGAGGUUGACCGGCCACACGGGAACUGAGAAACGGUCCGGACUCCUACGGGAGGAAGCAGUGGGGAAUAUUGCACAAUGGGCGCAAGCCUGAUGCAGCCAUGCCGCGGGUAUGAAGAAGGCCUUCGGGUGGUAAAGUACUUUCAGCGGGGAGGCGGUACCCGCAGAAGAAGCACCGGCUAACUCCGUGCCAGCAGCCGCGGUAAUAC